rnacentral:rRNA from 1 species
UACAGAGGUCCCACGCGUUGUUCGGAUUCACUGGGCGUAAAGGGUGCGUAGGUGGUCGGGUAAGUUUAAGGUGAAAGCUCCGGGCUCAACCCGGAAAUGGCCUUGAAUACUAUCCGGCUCGAGGGUUGGAGGGGGGACUGGAAUUCUCGGUGUAGCAGUGAAAUGCGUAGAUAUCGAGAGGAACACCAGUGGCGAAGGCGAGUCCCUGGACAACACCUGACACUGAGGCACGAAAGCUAGGGGAGCGAAUGGG